ensembl:lncRNA
AUAUGAAACACUUUUUUUCCUGCCUUAAGGUUGGAAUCUGGUAAGUUUCAGACAAGUGGUUGCGGGGGGAGGUGACCCGGGGGACCGCGGGGGACCGGCCCGGUGAACCUGACUCGGCGAGGUGGGCGACCAGAAGAGCCGGGUCUGCGUGCCGCCCCCUGCCCCCAGCCCGGCGCGGAGGAAAGACUGGCGGAGGUGCGGCAGGCUCAGGCCGCGACCCUCGGGUCCUCCUGUGAAAGGAGCGCCCCCUAAUCCCUGCGAGCGGACGCCGAAGGGGGAGCGGGGAUCCCACCAGAGGGAAGGCCCAGAGGUUAAUCAUCUUGAUAACCGGAAAGGGCGCUGCCCGGCCUGGCUGCCAUCACAAAGCGUGUCAGUCACCAGCUCUCAAUCCCGCCACAGAAUUACCUGCUCAAAGAGCCAUCCCGGGGAGCGCUCUGCUCCGCGCUCUUCCCGCCCGCCGCCUGCGGGAAGGACACCGUGUCCUAGUCCGAAAGAAGCGGAUGUCGCUUUGACCCUCCUCCGCCCCCAGACGGUUCCUAAAUCCAGGAGGGCAAUGCCAGCCCUGGAUCGCUCAGAACUGCUACAUCGCAGCUUCGGGCCACCUGCCUAUUACUCAGCCCGUCUACAAAAAGAAAAAUAGAAAAAGCGGGGCGGGAGAGGAAAAAGGAGCGAGAUUACUUGUCUGAUUUAUCUCUGCCUUAGGAACCUGGUCCUGGCCGCUGGCGGAGCCGAGGGCCUCGAGCCUGGGCACUGGGAGGCCAGACCCUGCCCGCCAGAGGUGCACACAGCCUGGGUGCCCCCGGCUCGGUGUCUCACUGGCCAAGAAGCCGAGCUCCUUUGCAGCGGGUGUCAGCAACUUUAGAAACAGCAAACUCUUCAGCGAAGCCCCCUCCCCACGCACUGAGCUCGCGGCUCUGCUACAGACGCGGGUUUAGGCGCCUUUCACAUACACUACUCACGUUUUCCGAGAAAAUGGGGAGAGGAGCACAUUAAAGAAAGGAAGAAGGAGAGAAGCAGGCGGGAAAGGACUCCCUUCCUCCUCCCAGCCAUCUCCCUCUCAGCGCCCCCAGCCCAGGACACCCGGGCUGGGAACCCGAGAGUGUGCUCCUAGGAAGACAUCAGCCCUUCCGCCUCCAGCUCAGCCCAGGUCGCAGCCCCUGCCCGAGACUUCCUGGGAAGCAACCCGCAACGCCCACAGCGUUGGCCUCCUUUCCCCGACUCCUUGGAGAUUGGUCUGCGGCUUGAGUCCGGCUGCAGACACCCACUCCGGCCCUUAGAUUAGACCUGCCUCGGGCGUGGACGCCAAGUUAGGUGUAUGACUGCUAUAUUCCAGCGGCUUAUCCUGCAUAAAAUACCCCACGGCUUGGGCGAGACUUUGCAAAUUUGGCAUCCCAGGUGAGCGGUCUUGAGUAUUCUGUGCCCUAUCCACCCACCUCGCCCGUGGGUACUCAGGGCAGCGCCCACUUGGCAGAAUUGAUGGCCGUUCAGGCCUAGCAGAGUGCGCAUCGCCAAACCUGCGCGUCCAAAAUGCAUCCUCGCCUCGCCGGAACGCUGAGCCGCGCAACUCUAAAGGAGCCCGCAUUCCGGAGCACGUGCAAGCAUCCUCCCGCUUUGAAAUGAAUUCGCUCUGAGUCUUUCAUCCCCAAAGGAAAAGCCUUUGGGGCGCUACUCAGACCCAAGACCUGGGAGAGAGAAGUCCCGAAGGCGGGGACCAGGGGCUUGGGCACUCUUCUGCUCACCUGGACUUGAGACACUCGAAGGCCCGAUUAACCAUCGGUUGUAUCAGGGCCGAUGGGUUCAAAGUGGCUGCGCCUCGCGGAGGCGCUCACUCCCCGGGUCCGGGUCUCCGAGGGCAUCUGGAAUCUGGGUGGGUUGUGCUGACUACCUGCAGCGCGCGCGGAUCCCAGGCCAGGAAAAAGGGCGCCGUGUAACGGGGACGGUCGGUUACCUCUCCAGGGAUCUGCCCUGACUUUGUUCGUAAUUUAAGAAGCCUCUGAACUCGGGGAGCGCGUGUUGGGGCACCUCCCUGCACACACACGCCCCCUCCUUCCCGGGCCUCGUAUCUUUCCCUCCACUCUCCCGUUCCCCCCACCCCCAACCCCGCGGCCCCGCCCGUUAGAGGCGCGCAGCGGGCACUCGGUUUACAGAGCCGCCGGUUCAGAUGUUUAUUCGCAGCUAAUUGCUGGUGCAGGAAAAUGCUCGCUACCCCGGCCGAGCGCUUCCGCCCUGCGCUGGCCGAUCCCGCCGGCGGCAGCUCGCUGAUCCCACCCGCGAAGCCACGGAGGAACCGGCGGCAGGGAGGCGGCUGUGCCACCCUGGGCCGGGCUACCGGCGCUGCCCCGGACUCCCGGUAGGGGGAGCCGCCGCGGGCACCAGGCCAGCCCGGCUCCAGGCCUCAGGUCGGCCCUGCUGCCAGCAGCCACCCGGAACGCAGAACGUGGGCGGCCUCCUCACCUGCCCUCCAGGUGCGUGCGGCCAGCAGAGAAGGGAACACAGGGCCGAGCCGGCUCCUCGUUCCCGGCUGUUGCAUCGCAAAGAAGCUACGCGAGACCUAAGUGCAUUCUUUAGGUCCAAAUAUAGUUAGGAAAAUUGGUAGGUAAGGAGAUCAUCUCCUUUGCCCAUGCCCCUUAACACCAGUGAUUAAGAACUCCUCUUAAUUCCACAAAUUUUGAGGCUUAUUUUAAAAAUUUUAGAUGAUCUAAUCCCUUCUCACUGUGUUUCCGAGUCGUUUAUUUCCAGGAGUUUCAGAUGGUCCCAGCACAAAAUAGGAGCUCAGAGGAGACCAGCUGGCUUUGCUGCCGGAUCACCGACCACUCCUCUCCCUUUCUGACUCUAUGUGCUCAAUAAAGGUUCCGAAGCUUUCAUUUUAAGAGAUGGCCAAUGUUGAGAGAGCAACCCUAACCCAGGGUCAAGGGGAAAGCAGCUAGGCGGACUGUGACCCCACAGGGCCCCCCCCCCCCCCCCCCCCCACAAAGGGCCCGGCGCAGCAGCACACCUGUGCUGAAGGGCUGGAGACUUCCGGCUCGCUACUCCCACAGAUGAAACAU